AGCGAACGCUGGCGGCAGGCCUAACACAUGCAAGUCGAACGAACCUUUCGGGGUUAGUGGCGGACGGGUGAGUAACACGUGGGAACGUGCCUUUAGGUUCGGAAUAACUCAGGGAAACUUGUGCUAAUACCGAAUGUGCCCUUCGGGGGUAAGAUUUAUCGCCUUUAGAGCGGCCCGCGUCUGAUUAGCUAGUUGGUUGAGGUAAUGGCUCACCAAGGCGACGAUCAGUAGCUGGUCUGAGAGGAUGAUCAGCCACAUUGGGACUGAGACACGGCCCAAACUCCUACGGGAGGCAGCAGUGGGGAAUCUUGCGCAAUGGGCGAAAGCGUGACGAAGCCAUGCCGCGUGAAUGAUGAAGGUCUUAGGAUUGUAAAAUUCUUUCACCGGGGACGAUAAUGACGGUACCCGGAGAAGAAGCCCCGGCUAACUUCGUG
rnacentral:rRNA from 1 species